rnacentral:rRNA from 1 species
UAUGAACCCUUCGGGGGGACGACGGCGGAAUGAGCGGCGGACGGGUGAGUAACACGUAAAGAACCUGCCCAUAGGUCUGGGAUAACCACGAGAAAUCGGGGCUAAUACCGGAUGUGUCAUCGGACCGCAUGGUCCGUUGAUGAAAGGCGCUCCGGCGUCGCCCAUGGAUGGCUUUGCGGUGCAUUAGCUAGUUGGUGGGGUAACGGCCCACCAAGGCGACGAUGCAUAGCCGACCUGAGAGGGUGAUCGGCCACACUGGGACUGAGACACGGCCCAGACUCCUACGGGAGGCAGCAGUAGGGAAUCUUCCACAAUGGACGAAAGUCUGAUGGAGCAACGCCGCGUGAACGAUGAAGGCUUUCGGGUCGUAAAGUUCUGUUGUAAGGGAAGAACAAGUGCCGCAGGCAAUGGCGGCACCUUGACGGUACCUUGCGAGAAAGCCACGGCUAACUACGUGCCAGCAGCCGCGGUAAUACGUAGGUGGCAAGCGUUGUCCGGAAUUAUUGGGCGUAAAGCGCGCGCAGGCGGCCUCUUAAGUCUGAUGUGAAAGCCCCCGGCUCAACCGGGGAGGGCCAUUGGAAACUGGGAGGCUUGAGUAUAGGAGAGAAGAGUGGAAUUCCACGUGUAGCGGUGAAAUGCGUAGAGAUGUGGAGGAACACCAGUGGCGAAGGCGACUCUUUGGGCUAUAACUGACGCUGAGGCGCGAAAGCGUGAGGAGCAAACAGGAUUAGAUACCCUGGGUAGUCCACGCCGUAAACGAUGAGUGCUAGGUGUUGGAGGGUUUCCGCCCUUUCAGUGCUGAAGCUAA